rnacentral:lncRNA from 10 species
CUCGGCAUGGCUGAGAGGGAAGCUGGAAGAGGAACAGAUUGGAGGGUGGAACAUGAACAGGGUAUUUAGGGGAGGCGAGCAGCGCAGAUGAGACAAGAGCAUCUAGAUCAAGCCCUCCCAUGCAGCUGAGAGCCCUGCAGGUGAUCGGUUUAGCUUCCGGCCAACUCUUCCGUGUUCAUGCCAUUAAAUACUUCUCCCCGUUUCUGACCAGCUGAUCAGGCAGCUCCCAGAGCCGCUCCGAUCAGGUGAGGGCUGCCCAUCUUCUCCAGGUUCCUCUUUCAAGGUGGGUGCUAACUCCCUGUGGAUACAGCAUUCCCUUUCCCUACAGAUUCUCAUACCAUGUACAUCUGUUCCUAUUUCUUUCUCCCCUAAUAUACCUGGUGCGUGUUCCUGCCUUACAAGCGUAGCAGAUUUUUUUUUUUUUGCGUGAAAAUAGCAAAAUUCCUGCCUCAGGAAAAAGUGAGAACUUCCCUGGGGGCUGUACUCACUUGACUGCUCCAACGCCUCAGUGCUGUGCUGGAGCUGAGCACGGGGCCUGCUGGGGGCCUUGGCAGCAGUUGUAAGGGAGCCCGGGGAUUCGAGUGGGACUUGAACCCGGCACAUGUCGGGGAAUCUAAGAAACUUUUCUCUCCUGAAGAUGCUGGCCCCAGGAGCAUUUUGGAGAGUGAUGCCCACGUCCUUAGCUCUGUGCCUCUGCUCGCAGCUGUGAGCCUCCCUUCCCACGGCUGCUGUUUCCAUUCUCCAGCCCCCGACCCCUUCACUCCACUUGCCUUUUGGACUUGUUCCUCUCUCCCAUGCCACCCCCAUUCCAUGUCUCACUGAAUGUUGGUGAAACAAAUCUAGUCUAAAAUAAUGAGCAAUCAACUACCCCGAUGCUUGGGGGCAGGCUGGGCAGGGGCUGGGGGAAGGGGUAGGAGCUGAAUCAUUUAUAAAGCUGAAUAAAGAUGCAGAUGAGCAGUGCUAACUAGGAACCCCAGAGCUGGGCUUAUUCAUUAUUCAAAGUUAUGUAAAUGUCAUAGGUCCUGCCUGUUAGAAUCCCACCCCUUGUCUCUGUGGCUCCUUCAGGGCUGACGGAUCCAGCCCACCUUGGGCCUCCCCCAUUCUCCCUAACCCAGGUGCCUGCAUUAGCCCUGCCUUAGGCCCAGAUAUUUAUUUCAGACCCUACCCCCAGGGUAAUAAAAAUCUUAGACCCCCCUUUCUAGCCAGCAGUCGUCCAGAAGUUUUGAGGGGAGGCCCUGGCCUUCAGACGAGCCUCUACAGGCCCAAAUAGCAGAGCUUCUAAUUUUUUAAGAUUUCCAAGGAAAGAAUAUAAGUAUGCUCAUCUACAUGUUUUAGUAUCUCAUGAAUCUACCUAAUGGGAUGGAUUUCCUGAAGUCUAACUUUAAUCCCUCUUGCUGCUCUAACAGCCCACCACUUAAAAAACCAAAUUCUCUUUCAUCACUCUUCUGAGAAGAAAAUGCAGGCUUGGAGUUACUUUGUAGCCGACUGUCUCCAGACCGACUCGGCCAUGUUUUCUCCUUUGACCUUUCUAGAUAGUUGACCCUCCUUCCUGGGUACACUCACAUUCCUUAAGCUGUUAAACCCAUUCUGGGAUGCCAAACUCUGCUGGGGUCCAAACUGGUACUGAGGAUAGUAUACACCUCCUCCUCUCCCCACCACGAUCCCUGACUGGUACCCCACGAUCGCCUGGGUCUUAGAACUCAAAUUACUUUGCCCUGACUCUCCUCCCUCUUUGCCAGUCUUUCCCGAUUUCCCCACCAUCUCCUCAUCUUUUGGUGAGGCUGAAAUGAAAAAUUGGGUCAGAGUCACGAAGGCAUCGAUUGCCUCUGCUCUCCCUUCUUUCCUGGCCUGGCUUUCUUUCCUCCCGCCCCCAAUCUAUUUUCAGCCUGCCUCUGCUUUCCUCAGUCUGCUUGCCAACCAGGCCAGCCUCUUUCUCUUCGUUGCCCUUAUCUCUCCCCUGCAGCCUGUGCAGACCCCAGCUGCCCUUCCAGAGGUCUCUUCUUGCCUGCCCGAUUGAUUUUGAUUUUCUUCCAUCCUGAAGAUAUGUACGGCCUGCCUGAAAGGGGAUGCCUGGCCACGCUCAGGCAGAAGGGAAGCAGAGAGAGAAUACUGGUUGAUCUGCUUUGGAAAAUCCUUCGAUAUAACUGAAACCCUCAAGUUAUCCUAGGACCCCUUCUACAAUGACUUUUGCUUUCCUCUAGGCCCAGAGACUAUUCCCAACAUCUCCUCUACUAUCCCACCCCAUCCCACCUAAGAAUGGCUGGUUUCCUCCCACUUGGGCACUCUGGGCCCAUUUCUUUUGGCUUUAGGGGUGCGUGGCAUCCCUGGAGGUCCUGACCUGCCUUCGUGGUCUGCACAUUGCCAGUCUCUUCUUUCCUGCUUCUUGUCUGUCUCCUUUCUUCGCUGGCCCGAUCCAUCCCCCCACACCCAUCCUCCCUCACUCACCCCCCUGCCUCCUCCCACUCUUUCCUGUGCUCAUCUAGAGAGGCCUCCGCCAGCUGAGGCAGGGCUUGGGAGCAGCCCCCACUCGUCCUUUCUCAGCCCCUGGGAGACACUGGUCCAUCCUUUAGCUGUCACCAACAAGCUGAAUAAGGCUGGAUAUUUUGGAAGGG